rnacentral:lncRNA from 1 species
UAGAUUCGUGCUUAUUGCUGUUAAACUCCGAGAUUGGACUGGGGUCGGUAAGGCAGAAAUGAGCUGAAGUCAGUGUAGCUACAGCUGCUCCCCAGUUAAUCGCUAGACCUAAAUUUUACUUGCUAGAGGUUUUUUUUUUGUGAAAAUCCUUUGGUGAUCAAGUUAGUUGGAAGCCAAAUAAUAGUAGACGAGAGAAAGAGG